GCUCAGUGGUUAGAGCACUGGCUACUUGUCCAGAGGUCCUGAGUUCAAUUCUCAG
rnacentral:tRNA from 1 species